rnacentral:lncRNA from 1 species
UCUAAUCCAAUCAUGGUUGUGGUCCAUAGCCUUAAGUACAGAAGCAAGGCAAGAUAUGGUGCUGAAUCAACUCUAUCAUGUGUCGUAAGAAGAAUCACAAGAAUGGACAACAGGACAUGGGACAGUGGGGUCCCUCAAAUUCAACAAUUGUGAACUCCAGAAUUUAGAAUUGGUUGGAUGGGUAGAGACUGUAAAAGUAUAAUGGA